rnacentral:rRNA from 1 species
GAUGAACGCUGGCGGCGUGCCUAAUACAUGCAAGUCGAGCGAACAGACAAGGAGCUUGCUCCUUUGACGUUAGCGGCGGACGGGUGAGUAACACGUGGGUAACCUACCUAUAAGACUGGGAUAACUUCGGGAAACCGGAGCUAAUACCGGAUAAUAUUUCGAACCGCAUGGUUCGAUAGUGAAAGAUGGUUUUGCUAUCACUUAUAGAUGGACCCGCGCCGUAUUAGCUAGUUGGUAAGGUAACGGCUUACCAAGGCGACGAUACGUAGCCGACCUGAGAGGGUGAUCGGCCACACUGGAACUGAGACACGGUCCAGACUCCUACGGGAGGCAGCAGUAGGGAAUCUUCCGCAAUGGGCGAAAGCCUGACGGAGCAACGCCGCGUGAGUGAUGAAGGUCUUCGGAUCGUAAAACUCUGUUAUUAGGGAAGAACAUACAUGUAAGUAACUAUGCGCGUCUUGACGGUACCUAAUCAGAAAGCCACGGCUAACUACGUGCCAGCAGCCGCGGUAAUACGUAGGUGGCAAGCGUUAUCCGGAAUUAUUGGGCGUAAAGCGCGCGUAGGCGAUUUUUUAAGUCUGAUGUGAAAGCCCACGGCUCAACCGUGGAGGGUCAUUGGAAACUGGAAAACUUGAGUGCAGAAGAGGAAAGUGGAAUUCCAUGUGUAGCGGUGAAAUGCGCAGAGAUAUGGAGGAACACCAGUGGCGAAGGCGACUUUCUGGUCUGUAACUGACGCUGAUGUGCGAAAGCGUGGGGAUCAAACAGGAUUAGAUACCCUGGUAGUCCACGCCGUAAACGAUGAGUGCUAAGUGUUAGGGGGUUUCCGCCCCUUAGUGCUGCAGCUAACGCAUUAAGCACUCCGCCUGGGGAGUACGACCGCAAGGUUGAAACUCAAAGGAAUUGACGGGGACCCGCACAAGCGGUGGAGCAUGUGGUUUAAUUCGAAGCAACGCGAAGAACCUUACCAAAUCUUGACAUCCUUUGACAACUCUAGAGAUAGAGCCUUCCCCUUCGGGGGACAAAGUGACAGGUGGUGCAUGGUUGUCGUCAGCUCGUGUCGUGAGAUGUUGGGUUAAGUCCCGCAACGAGCGCAACCCUUAAGCUUAGUUGCCAUCAUUAAGUUGGGCACUCUAAGUUGACUGCCGGUGACAAACCGGAGGAAGGUGGGGAUGACGUCAAAUCAUCAUGCCCCUUAUGAUUUGGGCUACACACGUGCUACAAUGGACAAUACAAAGGGCAGCGAAACCGCGAGGUCAAGCAAAUCCCAUAAAGUUGUUCUCAGUUCGGAUUGUAGUCUGCAACUCGACUACAUGAAGCUGGAAUCGCUAGUAAUCGUAGAUCAGCAUGCUACGGUGAAUACGUUCCCGGGUCU